UUGGGUUUUGCACCUUUUUCCAGGCUUUGACUUUUUCCUCCACUUUCUCUUUCUUAGGGUUGACUUUUUCUAAGUUUGCCAUUUUUCCUCCAUUUUCGACCACUUUCUCAUCUUCUUUCUAGAUGGCGGAUGACAUACCUCACGACAGAGCUCUCCGAAAGAUCCCACCCCAGUUGUCUCUAGAGAUGGAGACGGAGCCUAAGCCAACGCUACUACCACUCGGGAUUCGACCCUUUGAUCCGGCGACAAACCAUCCUUAGAUAUAUGUGCUACCUCCUGGGGGGAUCAGGUAAUUCAGAGCACUUGUGCAACGCACACGGGAGGACCUCUUGCUACGAGAGCCGCACUCCUAUUUGACUUACGGUGCCACUGAGGAAGACUCACGUGCUAUCAGAGGCUAUGGAGCUACGUCCGUGAGGAACUGGUACAUGGAGCUUCUUGCUGGUGUCCGCUACAUCAUCGACGAGGCCUGCUUCGGCUUAUUCUGCCUGGGGUUGUCGCGCCAUAUCGCAAGUCGCCCACUUCUUAAUGCAUUAGUGGAGCGGUGGUGGGAUACCACCGACUCCUUCCACUUCUCUGCUACUAGGGAGAUGACGAUGACUGCCUAUGACUUCGCCAUGCUCACAGGCGUAGAAGUAGGGGGUCAUCGGAUUCCUUAUGAUAUGGACAUGGGUGAGUGGGAGGCCGCCUGGCUACACCUUGCUAGGAGCACGUCCGCCUCUCUUUCAACCGGGGAUGGUACGAUAUAGCUAGUUUGCCAAGCAUUUUCGAGGGAGAGAGCCAGAGAUCUCGGAGGAGACCGAGCAUUAUGCCUGAGGCUUCUUGAUGUUCCUGUUCAGCACCACCUUGUUUACGAACAGGUGGAACACUGUGGGGUUAUAUCUCUUAAGCGCUCUGGUGGACUUAUCUCAGGUCCGGCUUUAUGAUUGGGGUGGUGCUAGCCUAGCCACAUUGUAUGGCUAUAUGAGCUUGACAUCCUGCAGGAGGGGAGAUAGAAUCGGAGGCUACUGGCGAGCUUAGGAGCUAUGGGUAUACACAUAUUUCCCUACCCUUGCCCUAGAGCCAGAGGUAGAGAUGCUUCCUGCUAUGCCAUGCUCUCACCGGUAUGACGAGAGAUGCCUGCGGACGACCUGGGAGACCUUCGCAUUCUUUCGUCAAUACUUCGAUAUAGUGACUGCC